GCUGCUCGUCCCUCGACCCGCCUACUGUUUUCUCUCCUUUGUGCGCGUUUGUGUGUGUGUGUGUGUGUGUCGGUGUUUCUGUCGAGGCACUGCGCUACUCUCUAUAGCGAGGGCGUCUGAGCACGUUAUUCUGUUUGGCUGCCCUCUUGCUUUCAAACGGGACUACUGAACACCCGUUCGUUGUCAGAGUGCGCACGACAGCUUGUACGGUUUGGGCAAAAAAGGAGAAGAGGGAGGGAGAGGCGUCGGAUGGGGAGUGGAACGGAUCUCCGUAGGCCGGCACGACACACACACACACACACACACUUUACUUCGUAGCUGAUACCUCUUUUCCCCAUCGUCACCUUAGCGCCAUGGCUGAGACGGCCGGCGUGAGAGGCCGACGCACCUUCAUGGGACGUCAGCGCUCGCAACAUGAGGUGCAGACAGAGGCGUCCUUUGUGCCAGGUUGCAACAGUCUUGAGUACGCUUAUGAUCCGCUGGCGAGUGAGCAGUACGCGAGUCUUGUGGAGCUGCGGCAAAUGAUCCAUUCUUGCCUGACCCUCGUGGCCGGCGACGUCUACGAUGUGGUCAGCUUCAAGGAUAUUCUGUACCAUCUUGAGAGUGAGAUGCCAUCGUCGCUGCCUGUCACCGACCUGCUGCUUCUCUCCUCUCGGCUGUUCCGGCGCACCGCUGAGCUUGGUCGGCUGCUGAGCUGCUUCUUUGGCGUCGUUUUUGCGGACGACCACAACGACGAGCACUUCCGCUUCGCUGAGGUGCGUCUGCUUCAGCGCGAGAUCCGUGAGCUGAAGAGGCAGCUGAGCGCGUCGGAGGAGGAGCGGCGACGGCUGAAGGAGAUGCUCGACAAUGUCGGCCAGGUGGCAUACGACCACGGAAGGGCGGUGGAGCUGCUAGAGACGCACAACAAGGUGCUCAAGAAGCAAAGCACUGCCUUGGAGGACCAGAUGGCGCUGCUGUUUCAUCAACUCAACUCGGGACUCGAGGGGCACUGUAAGGCCGCGUACCAGCAGGUGACGGGAGAGAUGAUGGUGCAGGAGAGUCUCAACCCCGCACGCAUCACGUUCCGGCAAACCAUGGAUAGCCUCAGCGAGCAGCUCCGCGGCUCACGAGGGCUUAUCACGGACGUUCGGGAAGUUCUGCUGAGCUGCAGCCAGGGACGACGGACGGGCGAGGCGUACACGGCAGUCGAGCCAACCGUGCGAUUCAAGCUCAAGAUGCUGGAGGCAAAUUUCCAGCAGCUUAUGGGCCGGUUCACAGCGGUAAAGGACACGGUGGUAGAAACGGCACAGGAGCUGAUGAACGCGCUGCAGGAGCGCAAGAAAAUUCUCUGUCUCUCCUUCCAACACAUUCGUCUGUACGACCUGCAAAAUGCGAAAUUGCGCAACGCCCGCGCCAUCCUCGCGCAACUGCAGCACAACACGUCCGAGGUGGUGCGCCGGAUACGCGUCACCUUUCCUAGCGGCAACCUCACCUCUGUUGAUCGCUUCGGCAAUAUCAGCACGCAGCGGUGGCAUGGGGGGUACACGCUGGCGACGCUGCGCGGAUACAAGUUGACGGAGCAACAGCAGCAAGGCGAGGGCGAAAUGUCUGAAUUUGCCCGCAGCAGCACUGCUGGACCUUCCUUGACUGCGGGAGCGUCACGUAUGCUACCUGGCCUCACGGAGUCGCAGAUUAUGGCAGCGGAGAGCGAGAUGGCGGUAAUUGACGGAACCGUUCACAGUGCCACACCGGUGGCUCUGGCGCUGUCGCCUGGCCUCCGCAGUAUGCGAGUGUCCCACUCUGGCGUCACUCCUCCACCACUUCGCACCUCAGCUCCGCCGAGCGGCGGCGGCUCCAAGUUGGCGAGCGCGCGAGGGUCAAGCAGCACGACCGGCAUGCCAGUGCCCGUCAGCGCUCCCACGAGCGCACGGAGCGAUGACCCCGAUGUGCUGCCGUUCGAGACCGUCUCGGCUUUUCUCGACCUGAUGCACGAUAUCGAUGACGACAUGGAUGAACUGCAGGGCGCGUUGGUGCUUGACGACGAGAUGGGCGCGUUCCUGAAGAUGCUGACGCUGUCAGCGUCGACGACGCCGCGCGCCGACGCCCUGGAGAUCGCGGGCGGCCUUACCGGACGUGCGGCACUGCUGGAGCAGCAAGAGUACAACAUGGAGACGGCCUUGCAACCCACUGGUGGCCGGCCUGGUGGCACCCGCGGCGCACCGAGCUCCGCGUCUGUCUGCACCGGUAACGAGAGCUUCACGGCACAGGAGGCCAACUCGUUCUCGUCCUUGUUCUCCAAGCUGGGCAGCCCGAGUACGCCCUCAGAGGCGCGUGGCGGCUCUCGUGCCGAGAACGCCUCCUCCGAGGCUGUAAUGGCUCGCCAGGCGGUGCAGCUCCAGCGCCAGCAGAAGCAGAUCGCCAAGAUGCAGGAGGACUUUACCUCGAAAGUCGGCUUUCUGCGCCAGGUCUACGAGGCGCGUAUCGGUGAUUUGGAGGUGCGAGAGACGACUGUAAGCAAACGACUGGGCCUGGUAGGGGGCUCGCCCUUCCAGCGCGGCGCGGGAGACAGCGGCAGUGCUCGAUCGUCUCCGGGAGUCGGGAAGGGCGAGGAAGAGCCGCGGGUGUCUAGUAGCCCGGGUGACAAGGAGAGGCUGACGAAGCUGCGAAAGGAAUGGAGGCAGGCCAAGGGAAAACUGCAACCGAAUCGAAAACUGCGCGAGGCCACGGCCGAGCAGCUGCAGCUCAUGCAGAAGGACGAGAAACUCUGAUGGGGCAGUGCGCGUGCGUUGUCCAUCUACGCGACGGGUCAAGGCCCGCUUCUACAGUUUUCAUUCGGAUUACAACCGCCUCCUACACACACACACACACAACACACAGGGAGGGAAGCAUAGAGCAUCUCAAAUAUUCAAUCGUGCUCUUCAGCCGUUAGCUUCGCCACAAACAUCGAUCCACGAUCUUGCGCUGCAUUGACAGUCCGGGAUCUGCGUCGCAUCUCACGACCAAACCGAUGUAUAUAUUAAUGGCGCACGUGUGCCGCAUUUGUGGCACCCAUCAGUGGUUGUGGCGCUGUAGUGUGCCAUGAUGAACGCCUCCUUUUUUUAUCGGCGCAUGCGGGCGCGCACGCCUCUGAUAACUGCCACCGCCUCGCACUGCAAAUGCGGCGGCAUGAGUGGAGCAC
rnacentral:misc_RNA from 1 species